CGUCCACGACUGCCGAGGCGGUGGUCGAAGGGCCUUUUCUCACGAAGCUCCUUGUACCAUUUUUGGCUGGCCUUGAAUUCAUCUGAGCUGACCCACUCCUUGAACCUCUCCCAGUCCUCCCCCGAGAUCCCCUUCCAGUACUUGUUCACCUCUGUCUUCCAGUCUUUGCCGAUGAGCUUCCGGCAGUUAUACUGCCACGUGCUUUGGCCCUUCCUCAUGACUUGGUGCAUCCGCCACUCCAACCGUCUCCUGAUCUCAUCAUUGGCAUGCACGAACCGCUUCCAUGCCACCUCGUAACAGUCCUGCUUCACAGCUUCCGGGACGUCGCUCCAUCUUUGAUAGAUCCGAGCGCGUACCCGUACGAUGGCGUUUGCAUGUGUUGGAGAAUCUUUCUGUGGCCUCCACUGGUUCCUCCGGGUAGUUUUCUUUGCUUAGCUUGGUGACGACCCACGACUCCGUCGGCACCUUGUUCGCCCCCCGCUUGGACUUCGAUCGAGUAGUCGCCUCCGUAGCCUGAGAUGUCGCACCCUGGGCUUCUUCCUUGUUAGCUGCUCCUUCAAGGAGCAGCUGCUCCAUGGCUCCUUCAAGGAACAGCUGCUCCUCGCACAUGGCAAUUUCCGAGCCCGAGGAAGAUGCCCCCGCUUCAACGCGAGCCUGAGCUUCCUAUCCAACACUUAUAAAAGUAAUUUAAAAAAAGUAAAAAAUUCGGCAUGACAUAUGCUGUAAAACAAGAAAAUUUCGGCAUGACCAUUGCUGUAAAACAACAAAUGAGUCUACCCAAAUGUUAUACCUGCAUAAAAAAAAACUCCCACCCAUAUAUACCCCCUUGGCAUGAUUGCCGGACCCUUCUCAACGACCCGGCACGAUGGCCGGGCCCACAUUGCUCAUAUCAACCGACACGAUGGUCCGAAUCACAUGCAUGUACCAUUAAACCAUAAACAACAAUAACAUCAAUACUUAACCAGAAAAAACAAUAUUUAAACCCUAACUAAACAUAAACAACAACCUUAAUUAAAAAAAGCAAGAUUCAACCCUAACUAACUAUAGAACUAAACAUAAACAACAAUAUUUAAACCCUAACUAAACAUAAACAAUAAGAUUCAACCCUAAUUAAGAAAACAGCAAGAUUCAACCCUAAUUAACUAUAUAACUGAAGACAAACAACAAUAUUUAAACCCUAACUAAAUAUAAACAACAAUAUUUAACCCUAAUUUAACCUAAUUUAACGUAAUUUAACCCUAAUUGAACCUAAUUCAACCCUAAUUGAACCAAAAUUUGACUCACCGGGACAGGGGCUUUGUCAGCCGGCGGAGGAGUCGAGGCAGCGGGCAUGGUGGUGGCGGCGUGGGUUGUGGCGG
rnacentral:lncRNA from 1 species